rnacentral:rRNA from 1 species
UACGGAGGGUGCGAGCGUUGUCCGGAAUUAUUGGGCGUAAAGAGCUCGUAGGCGGCUUGUCGCGUCGGCUGUGAAAACCUGAGGCUCAACCUCGGGCUUGCAGCCGAUACGGGCAAGCUAGAAUUCGGUAGGGGAGACUGGAACUCCUGGUGUAGCGGUGAAAUGCGCAGAUAUCAGGAAGAACACCGGUGGCGAAGGCGGGUCUCUGGGCCGAUAUUGACGCUGAGGAGCGAAAGCGUGGGGAGCAAACAGG